UGGCUAUGAUGACAAAAUAAAAAAAGACCAACUAAAUAUGGUUAUCAAUGUAUACGCUAUCCUGAGCCUUAU